ensembl:lncRNA
UGACGUUCAAAUAAACCUGUAACACAGAAAGAGAAACAGGCAGGGAGAAAGGCCCACCCACCCAGUCCAAAAUAAACCUCUCAGUCACUUACCACGGUGAUAAAUAUAUCUGCCGAGAGUACAUUCCAGUCGAGUUCCCGUGAUGGAGCUAAAGUGAGUGGUGAAGUUCCGUCAAAAGCCCCUUAACCCCACAUGCACCGUAACCCGUAAAUGGGAAAAAGAAUUUCCAUGUCAGCAACAUGUGAGCCGGAGUCACAUUUCCGAGAAAGACACUACAGAAAAAAUAAGCAAGCUGACCUAAUCUACAAGUGCCGGAUGAGGCUCGGGGGGUAAUGAGAAGAUCUAACAGACAACAACACAGAAAGCAGCAGCUAUGAAGACAUAGAGGUGAAGCAGUUCACCCACCUCCUGCAAGUGGUGAUGUCAACAUUUCUGCAAGUCAAAACCGCUGUAGUUGUUUGUCCUGCCUGUAGGGGGCGCAGGUGGACGUGCUUUGAACUUAUGCCUCAGCAGUGAGACCCUUUGAGGAAAAUCAGCUGUCUACCAAAUGUGAAUUUCAAACUUGUUUCGUUAG